rnacentral:rRNA from 1 species
GAGUUUGAUCAUGGCUCAGGAUGAACGCUAGCGGCAGGCCUAAUACAUGCAAGUCGAGGGGCAGCAUGAACUUAGCUUGCUAAGUUUGAUGGCGACCGGCGCACGGGUGCGUAACGCGUAUGCAACUUGCCUUACAGAGGGGGAUAACCCGUUGAAAGACGGACUAAUACCGCAUACACUUGCUUGGUUGCAUGAUCGGGCAAGGAAAUAUUUAUAGCUGUAAGAUAGGCAUGCGUCCCAUUAGCUUGUUGGUGAGGUAACGGCUCACCAAGGCAACGAUGGGUAGGGGAACUGAGAGGUUUAUCCCCCACACUGGUACUGAGACACGGACCAGACUCCUACGGGAGGCAGCAGUGAGGAAUAUUGGUCAAUGGGCGAGAGCCUGAACCAGCCAAGUCGCGUGAAGGAAGACUGUCCUAAGGAUUGUAAACUUCUUUUAUACGGGAAUAACGGGCGAUACGCGUAUUGCUAUGAAUGUACCGUAAGAAUAAGCAU